rnacentral:rRNA from 1 species
GACGAACCGUGCGAACGUUAUUCGGAUUCACUGGGCUUAAAGGGCGCGUAGGCGGACGAGCAAGUCCGGGGUGAAAUCUUUCGGCUUAACCGGAAAAGUGCCUUGGAUACUGCUCGCCUUGAGUGAGGUAGGGGCAUGUGGAACUUCCGGUGGAGCGGUGAAAUGCGUUGAGAUCGGAAAGAACACCAACGGCGAAAGCACUCUGCUGGGCCGACACUGACACUGAGAGACGAAAGCUAGGGGAGCGAAUGGG